UGGCAGUAAAGAUUAAAGCUGACUAGAUUCUUACAGUCAUUAUUUUAGACAGGUAAGAAGUUCCAUUGUGUGUCUACCUCUCUGUAGAAAUCCUUGGAAGCUUCAAAUAAUCAGCUUUGUUUUUAAAUUUUGAUUUCCAGGAAGAAUUUAUCACCUUAGAUGCAAUAUGCUGUUCUAAUUUCAUAAUCUUUGAGUUUAAACAGUUUUUUUGAAGUCUUUGUAUUGGGCUGAUUUGUUGAUUUACCUGUUCACUACUUUUGCUCCACCUUGAAACUUCUUUCUCUUAGCCCAUAGUUUUUAAAUUAGGAAAACUAACAGCUAACAGAAACAGAAUAUGGCUCAUCUUUUUUGAAGAAACAAGACACUAAACAUCAAGUGUGUGACUGAGUGAUAUUUCAGUGACUUGUUGGUUACUCUUCAGUGACAUCCAGUAUGAUGUAAUGGAAAGAGAAUUUGCCUGGGAGCAAGGAGACCAGAGUUUAAAUGCCAAUAACAUGGUCUUGGUGAGGCCCUUUGGAGGGACAACUUAGAGGGCGUGCCCAUGUCAACAUGCUCAUGAUUCUGCUGAAUCGACUUCAACGCAGCAAGCAUUGAUUGAGUGCUUACUAUGUGUCAGAAGCUGGACCAAUUUUGGAGAUACUGAGACAAAAGUAUGGAGAUGGAAGUUCUACCAGAAAUUUUGCGAUCUGAUCAAGAAAGAUUGAAACUAAAAAUGAAAUGGUUUGAAGGAAGAGAAUUGACCACAUAAAUCCACUAAGCUGAAUAUUCCAGUAAGUAUGAUUUGAGACAAAGAAUAACAGUGUAAAGGUCUGAUAAUUCACAGGAGACAAUAUUCUAGAAAGAGCCAUUAAAUUCAUGAUUUCAGAUGACUAUUCACAAAUGCACAGACUAUGUAUAAUUAAGAAACAAAGAUAGCUAAUGAUAUUAAUGAAAGGAGGGAUAGUUGACCUUAGAGCUGUCUCUGAGACAACAGCAAGGUAUCCAUUGUUAAAAUAUGGAAACUGAUGGAGAAGGAGCAGAUUAAAUAGAGUACUCAAGUAAGAUUGCUUGUCAAAAAAGUAUAAUGACCCA
rnacentral:lncRNA from 1 species